rnacentral:rRNA from 1 species
AGUGAACGCUGGCGGUAGGCCUAACACAUGCAAGUCGAACGGCAGCACAGAGGAGCUUGCUCCUUGGGUGGCGAGUGGCGGACGGGUGAGGAAUACAUCGGAAUCUACUCUGUCGUGGGGGAUAACGCAGGGAAACUUACGCCAAUACCGCAUACGACCUACGGGUGAAAGCAGGGGAUCUUCGGAACUUGCGCGAUUGAAUGCGCCGAUGUCGGAUUAGCUAGUUGGCGGGGUAAAGGCCCACCAAGGCGACGAUCCGUAGCUGGUCUGAGAGGAUGAUCAGCCACACUGGAACUGAGACACGGUCCAGACUCCUACGGGAGGCAGCAGUGGGGAAUAUUGGACAAUGGGCGCAAGCCUGAUCCAGCCAUACCGCGUGGGUGAAGAAGGCCUUCGGGUUGUAAAGCCCUUUUGUUGGGAAAGAAAUCCAUCUGGUUAAUACCCGGGUGGGAUGACGGUACCCAAAGAAUAAGCACCGGCUAACUUCGUGCCAGCAGCCGCCGUAA